rnacentral:rRNA from 1 species
UUAAGCAUAUCAAUAAGCGGAGGAAAAGAAACCAACAGGGAUUGCCCUAGUAACGGCGAGUGAAGCGGCAAUAGCUCAAAUUUGAAAUCUGGCUCUUUCAGAGUCCGAGUUGUAAUUUGCAGAGGGCGCUUUGGCAUUGGCAGCGGUCCAAGUUCUUUGGAACAGGACGUCACAGAGGGUGAGAAUCCCGUACGUGGUCGCUAGCCUUUGCCGUGUAAAGCCCCUUCGACGAGUCGAGUUGUUUGGGAAUGCAGCUCUAAAUGGGAGGUAAAUUUCUUCUAAAGCUAAAUACUGGCCAGAGACCGAUAGCGCACAAGUAGAGUGAUCGAAAGAUGAAAAGCACUUUGGAAAGAGAGUCAAAUAGCACGUGAAAUUGUUGAAAGGGAAGCGCUUGCAGCCAGACUUGCCUGUAGUUGCUUAUCUGGACUUUUGUCCAGUGCACUCUUCUGCGGGCAGGCCAGCAUCAGUUUGGGCGGUUGGAUAAAGGUCUCUGUCAUGUACCUCUCUUCGGGGAGGCCUUAUAGGGGAGACGACAUGCAACCAGCCUGGACUGAGGUCCGCGCAUCUGCUAGGAUGCUGGCGUAAUGGCUGUAAGCGGCCCGUCUUGAAACACGGACCAAGGAGUCUAACAUCUAUGCGAGUGUUUGGGUGUCAAGCCCAGACGCGUAAUGAAAGUGAACGGAGGUGGGAACCCUUUGGGUGCACCAUCGACCGAUCCUGAUGUCUUCGGAAGGAUUUGAGUAAGAGCAUGGCUGUUGGGACCCGAAAGAUGGUGAACUAUGCUUGAAUAGGGUGAAGCCAGAGGAAACUCUGGUGGAGGCUCGCAGCGGUUCUGACGUGCAAAUCGAUCGUCAAAUUUGGGCAUAGGGGCGAAAGACUAAUCGAACUAUCUAGUAGCUGGUUCCUGCCGAAGU